rnacentral:rRNA from 1 species
AUACGAAGGGGGCUAGCGUUGUUCGGAAUUACUGGGCGUAAAGCGCGCGUAGGCGGAUACUUAAGUCAGGGGUGAAAUCCCGAGGCUCAACCUCGGAACUGCCCUUGAUACUGGGUAUCUUGAGUUCGAGAGAGGUAAGUGGAAUUCCGAGUGUAGAGGUGAAAUUCGUAGAUAUUCGGAGGAACACCAGAGGCGAAGGCGGCUAUCUGGCUCGGUACUGACGCUGAGGCGCGAAAGCGUGGGGAGCAAACAGGAUUAGAUACCCCAGUAGUCC